rnacentral:rRNA from 1 species
GACGAACGCUGGCGGUGUGCUUCACACAUGCAAGUCGAACGAGGUAGCAAUACCUAGUGGCGGACGGGUGAGUAACGCGUGGGAAUCUGCCUUGAAGUGUGGGAUAACUCCGAGAAAUCGGAGCUAAUACCGCAUGUGAUUGUAAAAUUAAAGUUGGGGAUCGUAAGACCUGACGCUUCAAGAUGAGCCCGCGGCCUAUCAGCUAGUUGGUGAGGUAAUGGCUCACCAAGGCUAAGACGGGUAGCUGGUCUGAGAGGACGACCAGUCACACUGGAACUGAGACACGGUCCAGACACCUACGGGUGGCAACAGUCGAGAAUUUUUCUCAAUGGGCGAAAGCCUGAAGGAGCGACGCCGCGUGGGGGAUGAAUGGCUUCGGCCCGUAAACCCCUGUCAUUUGCGAACAAAUUGCUUCAACUAACACGUGAAGUAUUGAUUGUAGCGGAAGAGGAAGGGACGGCUAACUCUGUGCCAGCAGCCGCGGUAAU